rnacentral:lncRNA from 1 species
CUCUGGGGAAGAGCAGUGGAUGAGGGCGAAGCCGACAAGAGCCCAAACUCAUCUGCGCUGCGCUGCUUUUGAGCCACACAAAUCCAAAUAAGGGAUUCAUCCAAAUCCUUUAUUUUCUCUCGAAGUUUUGUGAUCAUUAAUCAGUUAACAGCUUGUUCCCUUCUGUGCUGGACAACCCCCAGCUGCAAGGGGCAGGAAUGGAGCACGGGGGAGGCUGUAAAAUAGAUCACUCAGGCGUUU